rnacentral:lncRNA from 1 species
CUUUUAGGGUGUGUUUCUUGUGUAUGCAGGAAACAAUACAUACUAGGAGCAGGAAAACCCAACAACCGUUGUUAGAAGGUCUACCAUACGAGAGGAGAAAGAGACGUUCCUCACGUGAGAGAUCUCUUUCUCCAGAAGCUACUUCGCAUUCUUCACUUUUGACUUGUGCACCAGAGCUUGAGGAGAUGGCCAACCAACCUCCUUCUAGACGCACUUUGGGGGACGCAGCUAAUACAGUUGGCCCCUUGAACUUUAACAACAUUGCAGUUCCAGCAGACAAUACAACCAGCAUGGUGAUGAGUUCGGCG